rnacentral:rRNA from 1 species
AUACGUAGGGGGCGAGCGUUGUCCGGAAUGAUUGGGCGUAAAGGGCGCGUAGGCGGCGCGGUAAGUCUGGAGUGAAAGUCCUGCUUUCAAGGUGGGAAUCGCUUUGGAUACUGCCGCGCUUGAGUGCAGGAGAGGUUAUCGGAAUUCCCGGUGUAGCGGUGAAAUGCGUAGAGAUCGGGAGGAACACCAGUGGCGAAGGCGGGUAACUGGACUGCAACUGACGCUGAGGCGCGAAAGUGUGGGGAGCAAACAGGAUUAGAUACCCUGGUAGUCCACACUGUAAACGAUGAAUGCUAGGUGUAAGAGGUAUCGACCCCUUUUGUGCCGGAGUCAACACAAUAAGCAUUCCGCCGGGGAGUACGGCCGCAAGGUUGAAACUCAAAUGAAUUGACGGGG